GAGUGGCGAACGGGUGAGUAACACGUGGGUAACCUGCCCAGAAGUAGGGGAUAACACCUGGAAACAGAUGCUAAUACCGUAUAACAGAGAAAACCGCAUGGUUUUCUUUUAAAGAUGGCUCUGCUAUCACUUCUGGAUGGACCCGCGGCGUAUUAGCUAGUUGGUGAGGCAAAGGCUCACCAAGGCAGUGAUACGUAGCCGACCUGAGAGGGUAAUCGGCCACAUUGGGACUGAGACACGGCCCAGACUCCUACGGGAGGCAGCAGUAGGGAAUCUUCCACAAUGGACGCAAGUCUGAUGGAGCAACGCCGCGUGAGUGAAGAAGGGUUUCGGCUCGUAAAGCUCUGUUGUUAAAGAAGAACGUGGGUAAGAGUAACUGUUUACCCAGUGACGGUAUUUAACCAGAAAGCCACGGCUAACUACGUGCCAGCAGCCGCGGUAAUACGUAGGUGGCAAGCGUUAUCCGGAUUUAUUGGGCGUAAAGCGAGCGCAGGCGGUCUUUUAAGUCUAAUGUGAAAGCCUUCGGCUCAACCGAAGAAGUGCAUUGGAAACUGGGAGACUUGAGUGCAGAAGAGGACAGUGGAACUCCAUGUGUAGCGGUGAAAUGCGUAGAUAUAUGGAAGAACACCAGUGGCGAAGGCGGCUGUCUGGUCUGCAACUGACGCUGAGGCUCGAAAGCAUGGGUAGCGAACAGGAUUAGAUACCCUGGUAGUCCAUGCCGUAAACGAUGAUUACUAAGUGUUGGAGGGUUUCCGCCCCUUCAGUGCUGCAGCUAACGCAUUAAGUAAUCCGCCUGGGGAGUACGACCGCAAGGUUGAAACUCAAAAGAAUUGACGGGGGCCCGCACAAGCGGUGGAGCAUGUGGUUUAAUUCGAAGCUACGCGAAGAACCUUACCAGGUCUUGACAUCUUCUGACAGUCUAAGAGAUUAGAGGUUCCCUUCGGGGACAGAAUGACAGGUGGUGCAUGGUUGUCGUCAGCUCGUGUCGUGAGAUGUUGGGUUAAGUCCCGCAACGAGCGCAACCCUUAUUACUAGUUGCCAGCAUUAAGUUGGGCACUCUAGUGAGACUGCCGGUGACAAACCGGAGGAAGGUGGGGACGACGUCAAAUCAUCAUGCCCCUUAUGACCUGGGCUACACACGUGCUACAAUGGAUGGUACAACGAGUCGCGAGACCGCGAGGUUAAGCUAAUCUCUUAAAACCAUUCUCAGUUCGGACUGUAGGCUGCAACUCGCCUACACGAAGUCGGAAUCGCUAGUAAUCGCGGAUCAGCAUGCCGCGGUGAAUACGUUCCCGGGCCUGUACACACCGCCCGUCACACCAUGAGAGUUUGUAACACCCAAAGCCGGUGGGGUAACCUUUUAGGAGCUAGCCGUCUAAGG
rnacentral:rRNA from 1 species